GGGGCUGACCACCCAGGGACGGGCAGAGGAGUCUGGAACAGGACGGUUUGUGCGCUGCCUGCGAGCACCGUGCUUCCACGACUAGAUGCCUCUGUGGUGAAAGCCAAAAGGAGUAUUUUACUGCACACAAAUUCUCAGAAAUGAUCAUCUGAAAACUACAGGUUCUCGGCUAAGGCACCCAGGCUCAGACUGCCGACACAUCGUUAAGCAGCUGGGUACCAGCAGCAAUGACCUCAUCCCUCUGACUCCGUGACCUCGGCUGCAGAGGGUCACGGCGAAUUAUAUACACAGUGCCACGCACAUGGGAAGCUCUCAGUGAGAGAGGGUGGGCUGAGAGCCGCUUGGCCUGGGCCCUGCACCUCGUCCCACUCUGCAUGAACUGCCUUUGCGGAGCCCGAGCCCGGGCAGAAGAACCAGAACAAAACCUAAGUACAAACACGGCGGGCUCGAGCGGGGCUUGGCACGGCGCAGGGGUGGCGGCAAGGGGGCAGCCUGGACUGGAGCCAGAAAGCCUGUGCUGGCAUCCGCCACGCGGACGGGGAAGCUGAGACCCAGGGCUCAGGUCACGCUUACGUCGUUUGGUAGCCAGGUGGCCAGGCCUGGCUAUGACCGCACGGGAGAGCAGGGCGGACCCCGCGAACGGGGACAGCACCUGACGGCGACAUCCACAAACGCCGCCCCGCAGGAGCACGCACUCCCACACAAAGCGCCUGCAGCUGACAGCCGCCGGGAGGGGACAUCUGGACAGCCUCACGCAGCUUUCAGACCUGCAGUCCAUGUUAAAAGGAUCUUGUUUCCAAUUUGCCUUAAUUAAACAAACAUUCCAAACC
rnacentral:lncRNA from 1 species